rnacentral:rRNA from 1 species
GAGGAAUAUUGGUCAAUGGGCGAGAGCCUGAACCAGCCAUGCCGCGUGCAGGAUUAAGGCCCUAUGGGUCGUAAACUGCUUUUGAAUGGGAAUAAUGUGAGGCACGUGUGCUUUAUUGCAGGUACCAUUUGAAUAAGGAUCGGCUAACGUCCGUGCCAGCAGCCGCGGUAAUACGGAGGAUCCGAGCGUUAUCCGGAUUUUAUUAGGUUUUAAAGGGUACGUAGGCUGCUAUGUAAGUCAGGGGUGAAAUACACGGGGCUUAACCUGUGUGCUGCCCUUGAUACUGCGUGGCUAGAGUUGUUACGGGGCAAGCGGAAUGUGCGGAGUAGCGGUGAAAUGCAUAGAUACCGCACAGAACACCGAUAGCGAAGGCAGCUUGCCAGAUACACACUGACGCUGAGGUACGAAAGCGUGGGUAGCGGAACAGGAUUAGAUACCCUGGUAGUCCACGCCGUAAACGAUGGUUACUGGCCCUAUGCAA